CGGAGGUGCAAGCGUUAUCCGGAUUACUGGGUUUAAAGGGUGCGUAGGUGGGUCUGUAAGUCAGUGGUGAAAUCUCCGAGCUUAACUCGGAACUGCCAUUGAUACUAUAGGUCUUGAAUUAUCUGGAGGUGAGCGGAAUAUGUCAUGUAGCGGUGAAAUGCUUAGAUAUGACAUAGAACACCAAUUGCGAAGGCAGCUCACUACGGAUAUAUUGACACUGAGGCACGAAAGCGUGGGAUCAAACAGGAUU
rnacentral:rRNA from 1 species